rnacentral:rRNA from 1 species
GACGAACGCUGGCGGCGCGCCUAACACAUGCAAGUCGAACGAGCGAGAGAGAGCUUGCUUUCUCGAGCGAGUGGCGAACGGGUGAGUAACGCGUGAGGAACCUGCCUCAAAGAGGGGGACAACAGUUGGAAACGACUGCUAAUACCGCAUAAGCCCACGACCCGGCAUCGGGUCGAGGGAAAAGGAGCAAUCCGCUUUGAGAUGGCCUCGCGUCCGAUUAGCUAGUUGGGGAGGUAACGGCCCACCAAGGCGACGAUCGGUAGCCGGACAGAGAGGUUGAACGGACACAUUUGGACGAGGACACAGCCCAGAAUCCUAGGGGAGGGAGGAGGGGGGGAUACUGCCAAAUGGGGGAAACCCAGAUGCAGCGACGCCGCGUGGAGGAAGAAGGUCUUCGGAUUGUACACUCCUGUUGUUGAGGAAGAUAAUGACGGUACUCAACAAGGAAGUGACGGCUAACUACGUG